rnacentral:sRNA from 2 species
ACCACUGCUAAUCUAUGCCGCUGCCAACCUAUCUAUCGCUGCUAAUCUAUCACUGCUGCCAACCUAUCUACCGCUGCCAACCUACCUAUCGCUGCCAAUCUAUCUACCACUGCUAAUCUAUCGCUGCUAAUCUAUCGCUGCUAAUCUAUUGCUGCUAAUCUAUCUAUCACUGCUAAUCUAUCGCUGCCAACCUACCUACCGCUGCCAAUCUAUCUACCACUGCCAAUCUACCUACCGCUGCCAACCUACCUACCACUGCUAAUCUAUCACUGCUAAUCUAUCGCUGCUAAUCUAUUGCUGCUAAUCUAUCACUGCUAAUCUAUUGCUGCUAAUCUAUCUAUCACUGCUAAUCUAUUGCUGCCAACCUACCUACCGCUGCCAACCUACCUACCGCUGCCAACCUACCUACCACUGCUAAUCUAUCACUGCUAAUCUAUCACUGCCAACCUAUAUAGGGUAAAUCAUGGUCCCAUUUGGUCCCAUUUUGUAAAAUGGGACCAAAUGGGACUGGGACCACUAAUUUAUUAGUAAAACAUGAUCUGGGACUAGAUUUAUAAUAUAAACAGUGUAAAGUGACUAAUUUACUAAACACUAUAUGGGACCAGGACUAAGAUAUCUAAUAAUGGGACUGAGGAAAAAUUUGGUCCCAGUCCCAUGCAUGGUCACACGGCCAGU